CAAAACCGUUUUCCUUUUCAUUUCUCCUUUCUUUUGCUUCUUGAGCCGAGAGUCCUUCAGAAACAACCUCUCUACCUCCACGAGGUAGGGGUAAGGUCUGCCGUCUGCGUACACUCUAUCCUCCCUAGACCCCACUUUGUGGGAUUUUUGUGCUUGGAUUUAAAACCCUAUAGAAUAUGAGAUUGUUCAUGGAGGAAAUUUGAUUUUGAAAGUUAUCCAAUUUGCUCAGUUCAGUUUUUUCAGUAACUUAUUAUUUUGGUUGAGCAGUUGAACCUUGAUCCAUUUGGUUUGUGAUUCAAUUUCUUUGGUUCAACCAUUGUCAUUGUUGUUUAACUAAGCUUUGGCUUGGUCAUGUAAUCUCAGGUUCUUCCCCUAGUCCAGAUAAUUGAGUGUUCAAACGACAGCAAUUUAAGUAGUGAAGUUGCAAAAGAUAGAGAUGGUCUCCUAGCUCAUGUGAACGAGAGCUCACUUCCUAAAGCCCCUUGGGAGGAAGGACUUUGUAAAGUAUGUAGCAUGGAUAAAGAUGACGUCAAUGUUCUUCUUUGUGAUAAAUGCGAUUCGGAGUACCAUACGUAUUGCCUAGAUCCUCCGCUUGUUAAAGUUCCUAUUGGGCCGUGGUAUUGCCCAGAUUGUGAAGCUAAGAUAUCACGUUCCCAGAAUGCUUCUUCUGGUUCUCAUACUAUUCGUCAAUGCGUUAAGAGGAGGUUGCACAGAAAACUAACUCACAAGUUUAUGGAAAAACUUUCUCAAUUAACAAGGACCAUGGAGUUGAAGGAAUAUUGGGAGCUUCCACUGGAGGAUGUGAGUUCUUUUAACUUUCUUCUGUGUUUUUAUGUUGACAUAGUCUAUGUUAGCCUGUUUGCUCUUGGAAGAUGUAUGGAAUAGUAUUGUUUCUUGAUCCUUGAAAGAAGUAUCUGUCUCACUUGUCUUCCUUUUGGUUUCUGAAACGUCUUCCAAGUUUAAUUGACUUGUUGAUUAUAUUGGUAAUGGUGGGAACUUUUCUUAAAGUAAUUACUGGAGUUUGUCUCCAAUUGUCUUUAGAUAGUUGAAAUGUCGCACAUUAAACUUGUAUAACAUGAGAAAUAUGCAUGGGAUUAUCAAACAAGUGUUUAAGGAUUUGUAGACAUUUGAAAUUAACAUGUCAUAGAAAAGGUAUGGAGUUGUCUACAUAAGUCCAGUCUACUCUGAAGCUUGCACACUUAUCAUGCUUUCACUGCUUGACUUGAAUGUGUAGCAGGCUGACAGUAGGCUUCAUCUAAAAGAUAUUAGGCAUUAAAAUGUGUUUCUUGCUUUUGGGGAACAGUGUCUCUGGCACAAAGCAAGUUGAGCUAAUUUUUGCAAAGAUGUGAUGACGUCCAUUGAUGUGAUGGCAUCCAUUUGAGAGGUCUGAAGUGUAAUUACUGCAGGGUAAAAAUCUUGUCACACAAUGACCUCAAAAUAAUACAUUGGACAACUUUUAAGGCCUCCCUCAAAACAAUUUCAGGAACAUUGUUUCUCUGCUAUUCUAGUAUGCUCAAGCCUCUUCAUCUGAUGUAUGCUGGCACUCCUCAUGCAUUCAGCUUUAGGGUUUUGGGGGAGGGUGGGCUACUAUAGAAAUGAUACCCACAUUCCAGUUUUGUUCCCAGUUGCUUUAGUUUCUUCCUUAGCCUCUCCUGAUCUGCUUUGUCGACUGAGCUUUAUGCGGUAUAUGCAUGUUUUAAUAUUUCAAUUUAUGUGCAAUUCUUGUCUACAAAUUUAUCUGUAUGGUGAGAACUGUGCUGCAUGCAGAAAUAUGUUAAAUUCUAUGAUUUUGUUGUUGGACACAACAUAAAAGUAGAACAUGAAUUAUGUACAGCUUUUCCUAACCUAAUUUGACAUGUACAAUUUCUUUCUCAAUGGUGCAGAGAAUUUUCCUUCUUAAAUUCUUGUGUGAUGAGAUGUUGAAUUCAGCCAUUCUUCGUGAUCACAUUGACCGAAGCGCCUCUCUGUCUGCUGAAUUGCAGCAGAAACUGCGCAGCCUUGGUGCUGAACUGAAGCUUCUAAAGCAUAAGAAGGAAAUUUUGACUGCAAAACUGAAGAAUGAUGCUCGGAGCAGUGGAGACACAGGGUCAGACACAUCUCUAUGGUCCAAUGACUGUAAACUGAAGGUGCAGGGGCCUGACAGUGGCAGCCAUAACUCGUCAAUCUCUGGUGGUUGCAGACAGCUGGAUGAUGGCACUCAACACAAUAAGUGUAAUGAUUACAACAAGCAAUCCUGCUUGUACACUUCAAAAAACAUUCAGGAUAAAACUUGUGCAAGUGGCACCAAUCAUAUUAGAAACUCUCCUGAUCCAAUCAACCAUUUACAGCAUCAACAGUUGUUGAAGGAGAAUACUAGGUCUCUGAAUACUUCAUCCCAUGCAAAAUGUGGUACUGAAGAAGCUAAUUUGCAGAACGACUUGUUCAUAUCUACUACCCUCCAACAAGAAACUGACCAAAUUCCUGGCAAUUGUUUGGAGUCUACACCAAGUAGUUCGAAAAGUAUAAUGCUGUUUGCUACUCACAUUGUGUCUGCCACUACUUGUUCAGGUUCCGUUAGCAACCCUUUGGAGGAAGCAUUCCUUUUUGAGAUGUCUGCUAUAAAGAAGGAGAUUCGUGCUUUAGAGGACUCAAUUGCUGCCAAAGAAUUGGAACUUCAGGAGGUUUCUGUUAGGAAGGAAUACAUGGGACAGGAUUCUGAGGGCAGACUCUACUGGACUUUUGGCAGGUCCACUUCUUCACGAUUAGUAGCUUAUGCAAGUACAAGUACACAGCCGGAGUCAUCUGGACAUUUGUGGUCAUAUGGUGUGGAAAGUUCAAGACGAAGUGGUGUUUUUGAUUCAUCUGCUCCAUGGGAGAAUAUGGGCAUGCCUAAUCUUGAUCAGUGGACAUCUUAUCAAUCUGAUGUUGAUACUGAAAUACUCAUUAGAUGGCUAAAAGAGCAUGACCCGAGAGAGAGAGAAUUGAAGGAGUCUAUUUUGCAGUGGCGGGAUACUAGAAAAAUGAUAUACUACUAUUUGGAAAGUCAUGGCCAUGACAAGGUAAGACUGAUCACUUCAAUUCCCUCCGAGGAUUCUGCUUCCUGUUUCAAUUCUGAUUCUCUCGUCACCAGAGCCGUUACUGCAAUUAAAAAGAUGGUUAGUGGUUGCUCAGCAGAAGAGGAGACGGAAAUCUGCACGAAUCUUGGUGUCAAAGUGAGAGUUUCUUUUGAUGGUGAAUUAUACAGGUGUGAGUGUCUAGAACCAUUAUGGCCGUCUAGACCUCAUUGUCUUUCAUGCCACCAAACAUUUUCCGAUGCUAAGGAACGUCUGAAGCAUGCAAAUGAAAAGUGCAGGAUUGAUUCUCCCUCUCCCAUUCAGCGGGAUGGGGAAACAAGUGAACAACCCGCUAAGCGGAAAAGAACAGCAAAUAAUGAAAUUCUGCAGGAUAAUUCUUUGAGCAAUGACGUGUCUCAAGCUUCCAAGAGCAAGAAGCUUGGUAAUGGCGAAGCAUCUAGGAGGGACAAGCAUGGUAAUGCACCAGCUUCUGCUGAAAAUCAAACCAAACAGGAAUGUCCAUUUAAGUUUGAGGAGAUCAAAGCACAGUUCAUCACUCAGAGGUCACUCAAGGAGCUGGUGAACGAGAUAGGACUCAUUGGGUGUAAUGGUACACCAUCAUUUAUUCCAUGCACAUCUCCAUAUCUAUGUGAUUCUGCCCUUGAACUGCUCUCCCAAAGGGAAGAUGAGGUAUGUGGAGGAAAUUCUACAGAUUUGUUAUCUUCAGAGCACCAACUUCGGAAUGGGGUCAAAGUUUCUUGCAUUAAUAACUCCGACAAUCCAAAUUGUACUGGAAAUGGCUUAGCUGGGGCUGGACCAGUGUUUGGGAGACUAAAAUCUGCAACCAAGAGGGGAAGAAAUCAGUUUUCUUCUACCAAGGAUAAAAUCCUUGAAUUUGGGGUUAAUAUGUACUUUGUUAUUCCGGAAUCCUCGCUACAUCCUGUAGCAGGUCGGGCUUCUGUGAUUUUACGGUGUCUUAAAAUCAACCUGCUUGACAUAGAUGCGGCUUUACCUGAAGAAGCUUUGAGAGUGUCAAGGUUACAAUCAGAGAGAAGACGUGUAUGGCGUGCCUUCGUGAAAUCUGCAGCUACAAUUUAUGAGGUAAAGGUUUUGCUCUUUUUACUAGACUAAGCAAGGCCUUUUCGAGUUUAGUGGUUGUUGUAUCGUGAGAGACCUUAGGAGUCAUUUGGUUGGUUCGCUAGGGAGAUCUAAUUUCCACAUAAAAUCUUGAACUGACCAUAAAAUUCUGCAUUAGUAUUAUGUUUGGUUCCUACUUUUCUUUCCUUCUUCCUAAACAAUACCUGCAUAAGUUAUGCAGGAAUCUGUGUAUUAGUUUAUGCUGGACAAAAUGGAAUAAGUUUGAGGUAUUAGUAUUGCAUGGAUUGAAACAACAAAUGAUAAAACUAACCCUCGUAAUAGUAGAUAAAUUUUGAUUAGAAAGUAAACACACAUUGUUUACUAAACAGUAUAUACUAUUUCUUUAAUACAGUAAACCGAACGUCCAACAAGAAAUACAUCUUGCAUUACAAACCUUGCAUUACUAAUCCCUUCAUUGAUAUACUUUGCAUUAUUUGUCUUUAAACCACAUGACCCCUUAGUGUUCUGCGAUUUCCUGUUCUUGUCAAAGAUAUCGGCCUUCAGUUCCAACUCUCCGCUGGUUGAACUUGCUCAACGUUUUCAGGAAAAAAAAAAAGAGUUUGUGCAAUAGUAUUUGGAUGUUUUUUCCCAUCCUCCCCCCUCCCCAUGAAGGAUGCUCUUGUGUUCAAAUGUUUUCUUGAGUUGAGAGUCUUUUGAAAUUUAUGGUAGGCUUCUGCACUAGUUCAUGAGGAUGAUUUUGCAGCUGUGUGCAUUAUGCAUAUACAAUAUUUAUUUCAGAAUAUUCGGCAGAGUAAUACUCAACUCUAGCCCUACUGCCUUUCUUAGGCUAAGGGCUUUGGUUAAAUUGACUGACAAAGGUGGGAUGUGGGGUGUGUGGUAGGCAUGUCACUAGUUCAGAUUCUCUGGUACUUAAAGUAGAAGGGUGGAGAGGAGGGGGUAUAUUAUACACUGAAAUUCAAAGCAGAAUUUCUGUUUUCUUAUUUUGGUCCUAAAACUCUGAUACUUAAAUUUUGCUCAUUUAUCUCCUUCAGAUGGUCCAAGCCACAAUUAUUUUAGAGGACGCCAUCAAAACCGAAUACUUGAAAAACGAUUGGUGGUAUUGGUCAUCACCCUCUGCUGCAGCAAGAAUCUCAACGCUCUCAGCCCUCGCCCUCCGUGUGUAUGCAUUGGACUCUGCUAUUUUGUAUGAUAAACUUUCAAGUCAAGAUGCCUCAGAGACAGAUUGCAAGGAAGAGAGGGAACCUCCUCCUCGUAAUUCUGUCCCCACAAACACAGCCAGUCCUUCAAAGAAAAAGCCACUUGACCCAGAACCUGCUGAAAGUUCAAGACCCAAGGGCUGCAGGACAAGUAAAAGGAGAAAAGAUUCAGGCAACAGCUAAAACAGGAAACAGGCUUCAGGUUUGCAGAUCAUCAUUAUCUGCAGUUUUUUUAAAAGGAAUGUACUGUACUCUUAUGUAUACCAGCCAGGCCAAUGGUUGAAAUUCUUUAAGCAUAAAGGAAGGUUUGCAACAUGCUAUCCUAUAAACUUCAGGGAGCAGACUCUGCACCAACUCUAUCUAUUGUUUGGAGAAUCGAAAGACGCUGUUUUGCUCUUUGACUUGGUAGAAGUUAAUCGAUUUCUUCUUGCUUUGAGAAAAGGCAUGGGAGACUUUGUUCCAGCACAUAGCCUCUCUUUGAGUUUACAUACAACAAAAAGGCCUUUAUAUGCCGAUAAGAUUGUGGCAUUUGGGGUUUUAUGCUCUUGAGAGAUAUACAGAUUUGGUUAGGAGGCAGGCGUGUUAGUUUGAACAGUUGUUGUACAUAGUAAAGCAAGUUUGAACAGUUAGUGUCAUCUUAUGUAUAUAAGUUUUUAUAUAGACUAGCUUUGUUGUUCGUCAGAUUACCUUCCUGAUAAAUGAAAAGGCGGUACUACGUCUUCUGAUGUCGUACAAUCAGAAGACUUUAGUUUAAAUAACGUCCUCUGAAGGUCACGUUGUAUGCGUCUAGAUUUAGCUUGUUACCUGUGUGGCUACGUACGUUUGACAGGAAGGGUUUGUUACUAGCAGCAAAGUAGACAAUUUAACCUUAAAUUAUUGAUUACUUGUGCCCAAUUUUUUUAAAAAAAUUACUUAUCUGAUAGUGCUUCCUCUCAUGGCAAUUCAAUUGUAGACAAUAGUAAUAAGGUCUAUGUAUAUAUUACCUGCUCG
rnacentral:lncRNA from 1 species